rnacentral:rRNA from 1 species
AUACAUGCUGAAGGCCCCGACUUCGGGAGGGGUGUGUUUAUUAGAUGAAAAACCAUCGCCCUUCGGGGCUCGCUGGUGAAUCAUGAUAACCGCACGAAUCGCAUGGCCUUGCGCCGGCGAUGGUUCAUUCAAAUUUCUGCCCUAUCAACUUUCGAUGGUAGGAUAGUGGCCUACCAUGGUGGCAACGGGUAACGGGGAAUUAGGGUUCUAUUCCGGAGAGGGAGCCUGAGAAACGGCUACCACAUCCAAGGAAGGCAGCAGGCGCGCAAAUUACCCAAUCCCGACACGGGGAGGUAGUGACAAUAAAUACUGAUACAGGGCUCUUAUGGGUCUUGUAAUCGGAAUGGGUACAACUUAAACCCCUUAACGAGGAACAAUUGGAGGGCAAGUCUGGUGAACGCCGCUGGGGGUACACUCGUCCCCGGCGGCCUGCUGACGCCAGCGAAAGCAGGGCCAUGCCGGACAUGGUCGCUAGUCGAGCACCCCCGUGCAGGAUGGGAGGGUGCCGGCGAGACAACCUGGAUCGGGGAACGCUACGGGGCUCCUGCCCUACGCCGAUCCCGAGCAGAGCACCCCUGGGAGGGCAAGCCCCCCAUGUGCCUGUGUAGAGCGCGCCAAGGUGUCGGCUGUGGUCGUCAGACUUCCAGCUUAAGGUACGUGCCAUUCUCACCCGAAAGGGUGCCCGCUGCCGGAGCGCCCAUCACGCAAAGGCUUCGGGGGGGCUGUUCCAGCUCCAGUAGCGACGAGAUGGUCGCUAGAGACAAGGCCAGCAGCCGCGGUAAUUCCAGCUCCAAUAGCGUAUAUUAAAGUUGUUGCAGUUAAAAAGCUCGUAGUUGAACCUUGGGCCUGGCUGGCCGGUCCGCCUCACCGCGUGCACUGGACCGGCCGGGCCUUUCCUCCCGGGGAGCCGCAUGCCCUUCACUGGGCGUGUUGGGGAUCCGGGACGUUUACUUUGAAAAAAUUAGAGUGUUCAAAGCAGGCCUAUGCUCGAAUACAUUAGCAUGGAAUAAUAGAAUAGGACGUGCGGUUCUAUUUUGUUGGUUUCUGGGACCGCCGUAAUGAUUAAUAGGGAUAGUCGGGGGCAUCCGUAUUCAACUGUCAGAGGUGAAAUUCUUGGAUUUGUUGAAGACGAACUACUGCGAAAGCAUUUGCCAAGGAUGUUUUCAUUAAUCAGUGAACGAAAGUUAGGGGAUCGAAGACGAUCAGAUACCGUCGUAGUCUUAACCAUAAACUAUGCCGACUAGGGAUCGGGCGAUGUUAUCUUUUUGACUCGCUCGGCACCUUACGAGAAAUCAAAGUUUUUGGGUUCUGGGGGGAGUAUGGUCGCAAGGCUGAAACUUAAAGAAAUUGACGGAAGGGCACCACCAGGCGUAAACCAUCGGUUCACGCAGCAGCCUCUGCGCCCGAAAGCAGCCCCACUGGGGUCCGGUGGUCGUCCUGGCCAGCAAAGGCCAAACGAAACUGCUAGUUCUUGGCACCGUCCGAGGGCGACGCACCCCAAUUGCGGGAAACUCCUUAACGCACCAGCUACCAAACUAGUUUGCCGAGAGGUGCUAGCGGCCAGGCUAAUCCCCUGGGUAUGGUCAAAAUGC